rnacentral:rRNA from 1 species
CCUACGGGAGGCAGCAGUGGGGAAUAUUGCACAAUGGGGGAAACCCUGAUGCAGCGACGCCGCGUGAGUGAAGAAGUAUUUCGGUAUGUAAAGCUCUAUCAGCAGGGAAGAAAAUGACGGUACCUGAUUCAGAAGCCCCGUCUAACUACGUGCCAGCAGCCGCGGUAAUACGUAGGGGGCAAGCGUUAUCCGGAUUUACUGGGUGUAAAGGGAGCGUAGACGGCAGCACAAGUCUGGAGUGAAAUGCCGGGGCUUAACCCCGGAACUGCUUUGGAAACUGUGCAGCUAGAGUGCAGGAGAGGUAAGUGGAAUGCAUAGUGUAGCGGUGAAAUGCGUAGAUAUUAGGAAGAACACCAGUGGCGAAGGCAGCUUACUGGACUGUAACUGACGUUGAGGCUCGAAAGCGUGGGGAGCAAACAGGAUUAGAUACCCAGGUAGUC